rnacentral:misc_RNA from 1 species
GCUUGAUGGCAUUUCUUAUGAUGAAGCAAGAGAUUUUAUUUCCCAAAGGAGCUUUGAUUGGCUUAGAGAGAGGGACCAGUUGCACACAGAGAUGGAAGUUGGGAAUGUCUUCCAAGGAAUGCGUGAAGCCGUCAUCAGAUUUCCUCCAACAUACAAAUUUGAGAGGCAUCAAAAUGGCUUAGCAGGGUAUGACUCUGGUGAAAAGAAGCGGAUUCCUGCCUGGUGUGACAGAAUUUUGUAUCGUGAUAGCCGUUCCAAUUCAGGUUCCACUUGCAGCUUAGAUUGUCCUGUCGUCUCAUCAGUUCUGCAGUAUGAAGCUUGCAUGGAUGUGACAGAUAGUGACCACAAACCUGUAAGGUGCAUAUUCAAUGUGGAGAUUGCUCGAGUGGAUGAAUCAGUGAGAAGGCAAGAAUAUGGAGAAAUCAUUAGAUCAGACGAGAAAGUUGUGCAUAUGCUUCGGGAACUUAAUAGAAUUCCAGAAGCAAUAGUCAGCACAAAUAAUAUAAUCCUCCUGAACUCUGAUGCAUCCAUCUUGCGCAUUACAAAUAAGAGUGGGAAAAACAAAGCUAUUUUUGAAAUAACUUGUGAAGGCGAAUCCACAGUUAAAGAUGAUGGACAAGUGUUUGAUUAUCGUCCAAGAGGUUCUUUUGGUUUCCCUCGUUGGCUUGAGGUUAAUCCUGCAGUUGGCGUCAUUGCACCGGACCAAAUUGUUGAGAUUUCAGUUCACCAUGAAGACCGGCAGACACUUGAGGAGUUUGUUGAUGGAGUUCCUCAAACCUCUUGGUGUGAAGAUGCCAAGGAUAAGGAAGUCAUGUUGGCAAUCAAAGUCCGCGGUUGCUUUUCAACAGAAAGAAAAUGUCACCGUGUCCGUGUACGCCACUGCUUUUCAGGCAAGCCUUUGCCCACAAAGGUCCGACAAAGCAACUCUGACCAUCCCCAGCCAAAUGUCCUUCGCCGGUCUGAUUUUCAACCCAGUGGCUUUUCACCUGAUGUUGUCGACGACCUAAUAAAUCUGAACAGUCCUUGACGAGCAAGCAAGCAUAUCUCCAGGUUUUAACCACACCAACACCCAAUUUGUGUGUUGAAUUCACUACAACGAACAUCCAAAGCAAUGUGCUUCUGUAAAUAGUCAUUGAAGGGACUAUUCUGCAACUUCUCGAUAGGAUCGAGAAAUUUUUGUUGCGUAUGUCAAAUUCUUUUGAGUUGGCCAGUUUUCAAAUUAUUCAGGCAGUCACUUAUUGAUAAGUGUAUAGCAUAAAUUGCACAUAUGCAAUAACAUAGAACUAGUUGUGUAUGUAAUCAUGUAAGGUAUUUGGAGUGAGUGGUGAAUUGAGUUUUGAACCCUUCUAUAAGUUGUUGGGUGUGGG